rnacentral:rRNA from 1 species
UACGGAGGGUGCGAGCGUUAUCCGGAUUCACUGGGUUUAAAGGGUGCGUAGGUGGGCUGUUAAGUCAGUGGUGAAAUCUCCGGGCUCAACCCGGAAACUGCCAUUGAUACUAUCAGUCUUGAAUAUCGUUGAGGUAAGCGGAAUAUGUCAUGUAGCGGUGAAAUGCUUAGAUAUGACAUAGAACACCAAUUGCGAAGGCAGCUUGCUAACCGAAUAUUGACACUGAGGCACGAAAGCGUGGGGGAGCAAACAGG